rnacentral:rRNA from 1 species
GUCCUUUAGAUAAUUAUAAUUUAAGGUCUAACCUGCCCAUUGAUAAGUUAAAAGGCCGCAGUAAUUUGACUGUGCAAAGGUAGCAUAAUCAUUAGUUUUUUAAUUAAAAGCUUGUAUGAAUGGUUGGACGAGAUAAAAUCUGUCUCUUUAUAAAAAAUAGAAUUUAAUUUUUAAGUUAAAAAGCUUAAAUUUAUAUAAAAGACGAGAAGACCCUAUAGAUCUUUAUAUAAUUUUUUUUAAUAUUAAUAAAGAAAAUUUAAUUUAUUAUAAAAAAUUAUAUUUUAUUGGGGUAAUAAAAAGAUUAAUAUAAUUCUUUUUUUUUAUACAAUAAUUAUUGAUUUUAUGAUCCAUUAUUAAUGAUUGUAUGAUUAAGUUACCUUAGGGAUAACAGCGUAAUUUUUUUAAAGAGUUCUUAUCAAUAAAAAAGUUUGCGACCUCGAUGUUGGAUUAAAAGUAAUUCUAGGUGCAGAAGUUUAGAGUUUUGGUCUGUUCGACCAUUAAAUUUUU